AUUGAACGCUGGCGGCAUGCUUUACACAUGCCAGUCGAACGGCAGCGCGGACUUCGGCCUGGCGGCGAGUGGCGAACGGGUGAGUAAUACAUCGGAACGUGCCCAGUAGUGGGGGAUAGCUCGGCGAAAGCCGGAUUAAUACCGCAUACGACCUGAGGGUGAAAGCGGGGGAUCUUCGGACCUCGCGCUAUUGGAGCGGCCGAUGGCAGAUUAGCUAGUUGGUGGGGUAAAGGCCUACCAAGGCGACGAUCUGUAGCUGGUCUGAGAGGACGACCAGCCACACUGGGACUGGGACACGGCCCAGACUCCUACGGGAGGCAGCAGUGGGGAAUGUUGGACAAUGGGCGAAAGCCUGAUCCAGCAAUGCCGCGUGUGUGAUGAAGGCCUUCGGGUUGUAAAGCACUUUUGGCGGGAACGAAAAGGACUGUGCCAAUACCACGGUUCGAUGACGGUACCCGCAGAAUAAGCACCGGCUAACUACGUG
rnacentral:rRNA from 1 species